AGUGAACGCUGGCGGUAGGCCUAACACAUGCAAGUCGAACGGCAGCACAGGAGAGCUUGCUCUCUGGGUGGCGAGUGGCGGACGGGUGAGGAAUACAUCGGAAUCUACCUUUUCGUGGGGGAUAACGUAGGGAAACUUACGCUAAUACCGCAUACGACCUACGGGGGAAAGUGGGGGACCGCAAGGCCUCACGCGAUUAGAUGAGCCGAUGUCCGACUAGCUAGUUGGCGGGGUAAUGGCCCACCAAGGCGACGAUCGGUAGCUGGUCUGAGAGGAUGAUCAGCCACACUGGAACUGAGACACGGUCCAGACUCCUACGGGAGGCAGCAGUGGGGAAUAUUGGACAAUGGGCGCAAGCCUGAUCCAGCCAUACCGCGUGGGUGAAGAAGGCCUUCGGGUUGUAAAGCCCUUUUGUUGGGAAAGAAAUCCUGUCGAUUAAUACUCGGUGGGGAUGACGGUACCCAAAGAAUAAGCACCGGCUAACUUCGUGCCAGCAGCCGCCGUAAAAC
rnacentral:rRNA from 1 species